GCUACAGGCUUAACACAUGCAAGUCGAGGGGCAGCAUGGUCUUAGCUUGCUAAGGCCGAUGGCGACCGGCGCACGGGUGAGUAACACGUAUCCAACCUGCCGUCUACUCUUGGACAGCCUUCUGAAAGGAAGAUUAAUACAAGAUGGCAUCAUGAGUCCGCAUGUUCACAUGAUUAAAGGUAUUCCGGUAGACGAUGGGGAUGCGUUCCAUUAGAUAGUAGGCGGGGUAACGGCCCACCUAGUCUUCGAUGGAUAGGGGUUCUGAGAGGAAGGUCCCCCACAUUGGAACUGAGACACGGUCCAAACUCCUACGGGAGGCAGCAGUGAGGAAUAUUGGUCAAUGGGCGAGAGCCUGAACCAGCCAAGUAGCGUGAAGGAUGACUGCCCUAUGGGUUGUAAACUUCUUUUAUAAAGGAAUAAAGUCGGGUAUGGAUACCCGUUUGCAUGUACUUUAUGAAUAAGGAUCGGCUAACUCCGUGCCAGCAGCCGCGGUAAUACGGAGGAUCCGAGCGUUAUCCGGAUUUAUUGGGUUUAAAGGGAGCGUAGAUGGAUGUUUAAGUCAGUUGUGAAAGUUUGCGGCUCAACCGUAAAAUUGCAGUUGAUACUGGAUAUCUUGAGUGCAGUUGAGGCAGGCGGAAUUCGUGGUGUAGCGGUGAAAUGCUUAGAUAUCACGAAGAACUCCGAUUGCGAAGGCAGCCUGCUAAGCUGCAACUGACAUUGAGGCUCGAAAGUGUGGGUAUCAAACAGGAUUAGAUACCCUGGUAGUCCACACGGUAAACGAUGAAUACUCGCUGUUUGCGAUAUACGGCAAGCGGCCAAGCGAAAGCGUUAAGUAUUCCACCUGGGGAGUACGCCGGCAACGGUGAAACUCAAAGGAAUUGACGGGGGCCCGCACAAGCGGAGGAACAUGUGGUUUAAUUCGAUGAUACGCGAGGAACCUUACCCGGGCUUAAAUUGCAGAUGAAUUACGGUGAAAGCCGUAAGCCGCAAGGCAUCUGUGAAGGUGCUGCAUGGUUGUCGUCAGCUCGUGCCGUGAGGUGUCGGCUUAAGUGCCAUAACGAGCGCAACCCUUGUUGUCAGUUACUAACAGGUUCCGCUGAGGACUCUGACAAGACUGCCAUCGUAAGAUGUGAGGAAGGUGGGGAUGACGUCAAAUCAGCACGGCCCUUACGUCCGGGGCUACACACGUGUUACAAUGGGGGGUACAGAGGGCCGCUACCACGCGAGUGGAUGCCAAUCCCCAAAACCUCUCUCAGUUCGGACUGGAGUCUGCAACCCGACUCCACGAAGCUGGAUUCGCUAGUAAUCGCGCAUCAGCCACGGCGCGGUGAAUACGUUCCCGGGCCUUGUACACACCGCCCGUCAAGCCAUGGGAGCCGGGGGUACCUGAAGUGCGUAACCGCGAGGAGCGCCCUAGGGUAAAACUGGUGACUGGGGCUAAAU
rnacentral:rRNA from 1 species